rnacentral:rRNA from 1 species
GACGAACGCUGGCGGCGUGCUUAACACAUGCAAGUCGAACGGAAAGGCCCUGCUUUUGUGGGGUGCUCGAGUGGCGAACGGGUGAGUAACACGUGAGUAACCUGCCCUUGACUUUGGGAUAACUUCAGGAAACUGGGGCUAAUACCGGAUAGGAGCUCCUGCUGCAUGGUGGGGGUUGGAAAGUUUCGGCGGUUGGGGAUGGACUCGCGGCUUAUCAGCUGGUUGGUGGGGUAGUGGCUUACCAAGGCUUUGACGGGUAGCCGGCCUGAGAGGGUGACCGGCCACAUUGGGACUGAGAUACGGCCCAGACUCCUACGGGAGGCAGAAGUGGGGAAUAUUGCACAAUGAGCGGAAGCCUGAUGCAGCAACGCCGCGUGCGGGAUGACGGCCUUCGGGUUGUAAACCGCUUUCGCCUGUGACGAAGCGUGAGUGACGGUAAUGGGUAAAGAAGCACCGGCUAACUACGUG